ACAGGGAUUACCUCAGUAACGGCGAGUGAAGCGGUAACAGCUCAAAUUUGAAAUCUGGCUCUUUUAGGGUCCGAGUUGUAAUUUGUAGAAGAUGCUUUGGGUGUGGCUCCGGUCUAAGUUCCUUGGAACAGGACGUCAUAGAGGGUGAGAAUCCCGUAUGUGACUGGGUGCUUUCGCCUAUGUAAAGCUCUUUCGACGAGUCGAGUUGUUUGGGAAUGCAGCUCAAAAUGGGUGGUAUAUUUCAUCUAAAGCUAAAUAUUGGCCAGAGACCGAUAGCGCACAAGUAGAGUGAUCGAAAGAUGAAAAGCACUUUGGAAAGAGAGUUAAACAGUACGUGAAAUUGUUGAAAGGGAAGCGCUUGCAACCAGACUCGCAUGCCGUUAAUCAUCCGGUGUUCUCACCGGUGCACUUGGCGGCGUUCGGGCCAGCAUCAGUUUGGGUGGUGGGAUAAAGGCCUUGGGAAUGUGGCUCUCUUCGGGGAGUGUUAUAGCCCUCGGUGCAAUGCCGCCUACCUGGACUGAGGACCGCGCUUCGGCUAGGAUGCUGGCGUAAUGGUUGUAAGCGACCCGUCUUGAAACACGGACCAAGGAGUCUAACAUCUAUGCGAGUGUUUGGGUGUCAAACCCAUACGCGUAAUGAAAGUGAACGGAGGUGAGAACCCUUAAGGGUGCAUCAUCGACCGAUCCUGAUGUCUUCGGAUGGAUUUGAGUAAGAGCAUAGCUGUUGGGACCCGAAAGAUGGUGAACUAUGCCUAAAUAGGGUGAAGCCAGAGGAAACUCUGGUGGAGGCUCGCAGCGGUUCUGACGUGCAAAUCGAUCGUCAAAUUUGGGUAUAGGGGCGAAAGACUAAUCGAACCAUCUAGUAGCUGGUUCCUGCCGAAUUUUCCCUCAGGA
rnacentral:rRNA from 1 species